GGGUCUCCCUGCCUCGGUGUGGCCCUUGUCACAGGCUUUAAGUUUUGGCCGGCCCUUUCGUUGCUCUGGGUUUGGGGCGCGACGGGAGAGACAGAGAGCUGGGGAAAGACCCGGAGGGCAGAACUCACAGAGGCGGGGGUCUAUCAUACACUCUGCAUGGGCCGGCUCCUGGCGGGAUGGACAGAGACCUGCCACGACUUCUUUGAAAAAUGCAUUUUUAUUUACCCCGCCAGGAAGCAACACAUGUUUAUUGAGGAACACUUGGAAACCCCAGAAAAACUGAAGGAAGAAAACACUUAGCUGAAGACAACCAUUCAAAAGAUGCUAGAAAGAGAAAGAGUUUCCACCCCAGCUGGAGGCAAGAGAGUAAUGAACUGCAAAGAAUCACUGGAGAUGAUCACAAUCACUGGAGAUGAUCACUGGAGAAUCAUAAUCAAUUGAGAUGCUGAGGGAACCCUGAAGGCCAGAGCACAGAUGGCAUAAUGGCACAGAUACACGGUAUUAUCAGAGACAAAGUCCCAGCUAAGCACAGGAAUUGAAGUCUAAGAAAUAAAAAAUCAGAUGUAAUCGAGUUAAGAUGAGGCCGCACUGGAAUAAGACUGGUGUCCUUAUAAGAAGAGGGAAAUUUGGACACAGGAACACAGAAUAUAGGCCUGGUGAAGAUGAUGGCAGAGAUUGGAGUGAUGCAACCACAAGCCAAGGAAAUCCAAGGACUGCCAACACCAGAAGAGAGGCAUGGGACAGAUUAUCCGUGAGAACCUCCAUAAGGAACUAAGCCCCUGACAACUUCAUUUCAGACUUGUGGCCUCCAGAACUGUAAAUGAAGACAUUUCUGUUAUUUUAAGCCACCAGUUUGUGCUAAUUUAUUACAGCAGUACUAGCAAACUAAAACACUGUGAAGCCAUUUAUAAUCUUCCCAAAGCUCUCAUUUCUUUUGCAGUCUCCACAUUUACCAUGAUUUUUUUUUUUUUUUUUUUUUUUUUUUUUUUUACCUUGCUACUCAAUGUCGCUUAAGUGAAGGAAAAAUGUCACUUAAAAUUAUUAGCACAGGGUGCCUGGGUGGCUCAGUUGUUAAGUGUCUGCCUUUGGCUCAGGUCAUGAUCCCAGGGUCCUGGGAUCAAGCCCCACAUGGGGGGGUGGAGCCUGCUCAACAGGAAGCAUGCUUCUCCCUCUCCCACUCCCUUUGCUUGUAUUCCCUCUCUCGCUGUGUGUC